UUUUUUUUUUGGAAGAACUUAAGCAUAUAAAAGUGUCCUAGUUUGAAGACCCUGUUCUCUUAAUUCUGCUUUCUUUUCCCCUCUUUCAACACAGUGCACAUUUAACACUUCCUUGAAGGUCAGCGCGGAAUUGCUCUCGUUUCAAAAGCCUGCUGCCUGCUGGGAAGGACAGCCAGCCGCCAGUUCCAGGUCUGAAGAAGCAAC
rnacentral:lncRNA from 1 species